rnacentral:rRNA from 1 species
CCCUUAGAUGUUCUGGGCCGCACGCGCGCUACACUGACUACUUCAACGAGUUGUUUCCUUGAUCGAAAGGUCUGGGUAAUCUUUGAAAGGUAGUCGUGAUGGGGAUAGAUCCUUGCAAUUUUUGAUCUUCAACGAGGAAUUCCUAGUAAACGCAAGUCAUCAGCUUGCAUUGAUUACGUCCCUGCCCUUUGUACACACCGCCCGUCGCACCUACCGAUUGAAUGGUCCGGUGAAUCUUUAGGACUGUGGCUGAGGCCUUGCCUUGUGCGGGUCUGGCCGUGGGAAUUUAGUUAAACCUUACCAUUUAGAGGAAGGAGAAGUCGUANCA